UACAGAGGGGGCAAGCGUUGUUCGGAAUUACUGGGCGUAAAGGGCGCGUAGGCGGCCUUCUAAGUCGAACGUGAAAUCCCCGGGCUCAACCCGGGAACUGCGUCCGAUACUGGAAGGCUUGAAUCCGGGAGAGGGAUGUGGAAUUCCAGGUGUAGCGGUGAAAUGCGUAGAUAUCUGGAGGAACACCGGUGGCGAAGGCGACAUCCUGGACCGGUAUUGACGCUGAGGCGCGAAAGCCAGGGGAGCAACGGG
rnacentral:rRNA from 1 species